GAUGAACGCUGGCGGCGUGCCUAACACAUGCAAGUCGAACGGAGUCGUUUUGGCAAUCUCUUCGGAGAUGGAAUUCUCGACUUAGUGGCGGACGGGUGAGUAACGCGUGAGCAAUCUGCCUUUAAGAGGGGGAUAACAGUCGGAAACGGCUGCUAAUACCGCAUAAAGCAUUAAAUUCGCAUGUUUUUGAUGCCAAAGGAGCAAUCCGCUUUUAGAUGAGCUCGCGUCUGAUUAGCUAGUUGGCGGGGUAACGGCCCACCAAGGCGACGAUCAGUAGCCGGACUGAGAGGUUGAACGGCCACAUUGGGACUGAGACACGGCCCAGACUCCUACGGGAGGCAGCAGUGGGGAAUAUUGCGCAAUGGGGGAAACCCUGACGCAGCAACGCCGCGUGAUUGAAGAAGGCCUUCGGGUUGUAAAGAUCUUUAAUCAGGGACGAAACAAAUGACGGUACCUGAAGAAUAAGCGCCGGCUAACUACGUG
rnacentral:rRNA from 1 species